rnacentral:rRNA from 1 species
ACGGGUGAGUAAUGCUUGGGAAUGUACCGAAUCGUGGGGGACAACAGUUGGAAACGACUGCUAAUACCGCAUAAUGUCUACGGACCAAAGGUGGCCUCUAUUUAUAUGCUAUCGCGAAUCGAUCAGCCCAAGUGGGAUUAGCUAGUUGGUAAGGUAAUGGCUUACCAAGGCGACGAUCCCUAGCUGGUCUUAGAGGAUGACCAGCCACACUGGAACUGAGACACGGUCCAGACUCC